rnacentral:lncRNA from 1 species
AAAUUCCAAAAUCCCUAUGUGCCUUCUAAAAUCCCUAACCCCGUCUGUCUGUCUCCAUCGAUCCACCUUCAGUUCUCCAACAGAAUCGUAAUUAAGGUAAACCUGAAACUGUUUGUUUAUUCUUUAAAUGAUACCUGAAUGAAAGUAGUGUAGGAUCUUAUGAUAAUAUCAGAGAACUGAUCGGGUGUAUAGAUUCUGUUAAUCGUAGUAGUUCUGAAUAUAAUCACUGCUUCCUGCACUCAAAAGAUGUUUUUCUCAUUUUCUUCCUGCUUCCUGCUUCCUGCAUCCUAAAAUUAUAUAUAAUCACUAUUUCAACUAGAUUCUUCUCAAUUUCUUCAAUGGAAUCAAAACCCAAAUCUUCAAAAAUAAACAGCGAACGCGACAAAACAAGUAAGAACCUUGGAUCAGGUAGCUUAAUAACGAAAAGGGUGUCUGGAUUUAACGAAAUCCUUGAACUCUGCAAUUGAUUGUAGUUAUGGAGUUUUGGUCAAGAGUCGAGACCGACCACCUUCCAUCUCCAUUUCAAAUGGUCGGAUCUGUAGCUAAAAGAGCUUAAUUUUCGCCUGGUUUGGCUAAAGGGUACCUUUUGAUUGCUGGGAAAAAGAACCCUUACCCUUCGCACAAAUUUGUGGAAAACAAAUGAUAAAAACAGAGACAAAAGCUGAACACAGCUAAGAAAAAAAAGAUGCUUUAUAGGAUGAAGGGGGAGCGUGAUGAAAGAGUGGGUUCUUUUUUGGUCAGCUUUAAAAUAGGGGAGAGUUAAAAUUAUAAGCAAAGGAAGAGGGUAUAAAUAUGGGGUUUGAUGAGCUGUGGGUUGUGUACCGAUGUGUAAUUUUAAAAAUGGGCCAGGCCCGGGCUCCAUUUUUUUCCCGGGCCAGGCCUGGACAAAAUCCCAAGCCCAUAUUUUGGGUCGGCCGCCCGGGCCUAGAAAGCGGCCUGAUUUUUUUUGGCCCGGCCCGAACCCCACCCGGCCCGGCCCAUGGAUAGCUCUCUACAUGUGCCAAUUGUAAGCCAAGGAAUCCAAGCAAUCCAACGUCAUGUGUUAAAAGUUGGAUUGAAUUGCAUUUUGUUUCCUUCAUUUAAAAAUAAAUAAAUUAAUCUCUAUAACUUAGACUAAAGAGUAAAUUAGACCUGUCCAUGGGCCGGGCGGCCCGGCCCGACCCGAUGGGUCGCCCGAAAUAUGGGAUUGGGUAAAAAUUUAGGCCCGUUUAAAAAAUGGGCCGGGCCUCGGGCAAUAUUUUUUAGCCCGGGCUCGGCCCGGCCCGGCCCAAAAAAUAUUAAAUAUAUAUAUUUUUUAUUUUUAAAAUAUAAUAGUUUUUUAUUUUAAGUUUAUUUACUUUCAUUUCCUUGACUAGUGUUACAAAAUAAUAAUAAUAAAAUAUCAAGUUUGUUUUACUAAUCAAAUGUUAGAUUUUGUUACAACAAUUAAUACAAUUAAUAAUUUGAUAAAUUUACUAAUCAAAUGUUAGAUUUUAUUACAACAAUUAAUACAAUUAAUAAUUUGAUAAAUUUACUAAUCAAAUGUUAGAUUUUAUUACAACAAUUAAUACAAUUAACAAUUAAUAAUUUGAUAAUUUUACUAACAAUUAAUUUUAAUAACAAUUAGUUUUAAUUUUAUUAAAAAAAUAUUUUUAAUUUUAAUUAAAAACGGGCCGGGCCGGGCCAAGCUCGGGCCCCAUAUUUUUUCUCCGGGCUGGGCCUGGGCAAAAUCUUAGGCCCAUAUUUCGGGCCGGGCCCGGGCCUAGUAAACGGGCUGAAAUUUUUUGUGGGCCCGGCCCGGCCCAUGGAUAGGUCUAGAGUAAAUUGAUCAUUCUAUUAAAAAUUAUAUAUAUUUCUACUAUUAAAAACAGGCCCAUGUAAUUAGCAUGAGGUAUACGUGGCACAUCAUGUAUCACUUUUAAUUAUUUCAUUAACCACACCGAUUUUUUAACAAUGUAAAUGAAUGAAAUUUUUAACAAAAAUAACCAAUUUACUUUUUGAUUUAAUGUAUAAAGACUGAUUUUUUUCUAUUUUUGAGUGAAAGAAUUAAAGUACAAUUUAAUUUUUAAUAUAAAUAUCUUUAUAAUACUUUUACCGAUACUUGAUGCAUGAACUUUGGGUUAUUUGUUGAAGCUCAUUUUAUAAAUAAACCCCCAAAAUUAUAGACUUGAAGAUGUCCAUUUGCAUGGCUGAUUUUGCAGGGACUAAUGUGACACGGUGUCAUUAAUGAAAUCAACAUUUAAUUUUAGUUGAGACUUUUUAUCUUUGAAAAAUAAAAAAGUUAAAAGAAUUAUUGUUAUUAUUUUUUUAAAAUCCAAAAAUGAUUAUUAGGUAUGACAAAGGAGGAAAGAAAAUGGAAAAAGUUUUGAGUCCCGGCAAUAAUGAAUUUUCAUGAAUUUUCUUCAUAAAAUUGUCCAAUAAUUUGAAAGUAAAGAACCAUGACUAAUAUCUGGGGAGAACCACAGUGAGGGCAACAGCAACUGCAAAUAGGAAAAGCAACAAUCCUAUAAAGUUGACAAUGAGAGCUUCUUGGGAGCGAGUUAGGAAUAACGAAAGGAACUUUUGAAGCAACCCCAUCU